rnacentral:rRNA from 1 species
UACGGAAGGUGCAAGCGUUAAUCGGAAUUACUGGGCGUAAAGCGCGCGUAGGCGGCUUCGUAAGUCAGAUGUGAAAGCCCCGGGCUCAACCUGGGAACUGCAUUUGAAACUGGCGGGCUUGAGUAUGGCAGAGGGGGGUGGAAUUCCGCGUGUAGCAGUGAAAUGCGUAGAGAUGCGGAGGAACACCGAUGGCGAAGGCAGACCCCUGGGCCAAUACUGACGCUCAGGCACGAAAGCGUGGGGAGCAAACAGG